GUCAGCCCACAGUCUCUCCUACAGUGCGAGCUUUUAGUCCUCCCCAGGAAGACAUCAGGAGAAGGCCGAGGUCAGCCCAGGACAAGGUCACCUUGGUGUGUCUCAUCAGCGACUUUUACCCAGCUAAUUUCAACCUGAAAUGGAAGGCUGACGGGAACUUGAUCACCUCUGGAGUGGAGACCAGCAAAGCUACCAAGCAGGGUGACAAAUACCUUGCCAGCAGUUACCUGUCCUUGCCUCCCUCUGUGUACGGAAAGAGUAACCUUUACACCUGUGAAGUGACACACGAAGGAAAGACCAUUACCAAGUCUGUGUCACCCUCUGGAAGUUGUUAA